UCCCUGAAACACCCAGCAGAAACCCUGGUACCUGUCCCCUGAAGCAGGAAGAUGAGCCCUUCUGGGACAGGCUGACCCUGCCUCAGAGUCUCAGUCCCACCAGCAACCUCCCCCCGGCCAUUCCCACACCCUCGCCCACCAGGCCACCUGCGGCUUCCAGGACUUACACGGCAGCGUACAGGCCCCCGACAGCGGAGUGGAUGAAUCCUCGCACGAUUGUGUGCAGGAUGAAGGAGAGGAUCUGGGGGAGGAAAAGGCGACUGUGGGCAUAAGGCCUUAAGGGACCGUCCCCUCAGCCCCCGCCCUCCAAUUCCUGGGGGCCCUCACCCCAGGGGCAGUGUCAGCCUGGAGUUGGAUCAACCCCAUCCUCCGGAGCCAAUUGUGAAUUUUCAGAAAUUUUGCAAGCCAGUCGUUAACACAGUCAUUUUUUGUUUGUUUGUUUGUUUUGUUUUUUGUUUUGUUUGAGAAGAAGUCUUGCUUUGUCGCCCAGGCUGGAGUGCAGUGGCGUGAUCUUGGCUCACUGCAAGCUUCGCCUCCUGGAUUCAAGCAAUUCUCCUGCCUCAGCCUUCGGAGUAGCUAGGAUUACAGGCCCACGCCACCAUGCCCGGCUAAUUUUUGUAUUUUUUAAGCAGAGAUGGGGUUUCACCAUGUUGGCCCGGCUGGUCUCAAACUCAUGACGUUGUGAUCCACCCGCCUCAGCCUCCCAAAAUGAUGGGAUUACAGGCAUGAGCCACUGCGCCCAGCCUAACCGAGUCAUUAUUAAAAAUUAAAUUAUAGGCUGGGCAAGGUGGCUCACGCCCGUAAUCCCAGUGCUUUGGGAGGCCGAGGAGGUGGAUCACCUGAGGUCAGGAGUUCGAAACCAGCCUGGCCAACAUGGCGAAACCCUGUCUUUACUAAAAAUACAAAAAAUUAGCUGGGCGUGGUGGUGGGCACCUGUAAUCUCAGCUGCUUGGGAAGUUGAGGCAGGAGAAUCGCUUGAACCAAGAGGUGGAGGUUGCAGUGAGCUGAGAUCACGGCAUUGCACUCCAGCCUGGUGACAAAGUGAGACUCUGUCUCAAAAAAAAAAAAUAAUAAUAAUAAUAAUAAUUAAAUUAUAAGCCGAGAAUGGUGGCUCACACCUGUAGUCCCAGCACUUUGGGAGGCUGAGGUGGGUGGAUCAUAUGAGGUCAGGAGUUUGAGAUCAGCCUGGCCAACACAGUGAAACCCCAUCUUUACUAAAAAUACAAAAAUUAGCCGGGUGUGGUGGCGGGCGCCUGUAUUCCCAGCUACUCAGGAGGGUGAGGCAGGAGAAUCGCUUGAACCGGGGAGGCGGAGGUUGCGGUGAGCCGAGAUAGCACCACUGCACUCCAGCCUGGGUGACAGAGCUAGACUCUGUCUCAAAAAAAAAAAAAUUACAUAAAUUUAUGACUAAAUAAAUAAAUUAUAUUAAAGUAAAGGUAAUGAAUACUCAAAACUCUGAAAACUCAUCACUUCCUGGCCUGGUGCAGUGGCUCACACCUGUAAUCCCCACACUCUGGGAGGCCUGGGAGGAUCACUUGAGCCCAGGAGUUCCAGACCAGCCUGGGCAACAUGUCAAGACCCCAUCUCUGCAAAAAAAUAUAAAAAUUAACUGGGCUUGGUGGUACGUGCCCGUAGUCCCAGCUACUCAGGAGGCUGAGGUGGGAGGAUCACCUGAGCUCGGGAAGUCAAGGCUGCAGUGAGCCAAGAUCCCACCACUGCACUCGAGCCUGGCUGAUGGGAGUGAGACCCUGUCUCAAAAAAAAACAAAAUGAACGAACAAAACCAUGGAAAACCUCAUCCCUUCCUAAUUAUUUUACUUGGUUCACUAGAGCCUGUGCACGCAUCAGGCUUUCCUUUUUUUUUUUUUGGAGACAGAGUCUUGCUGUGUAGCCCAGGCUGGAAUGCAGUGGCACGGCUCACUGCAAGCUCCGCCUCCUGGAUUCAAGCAAUUCUCCUGCCUCAGCCUCCCUAGUAGCUGGGAUUACAGGUGCAUGCCACCAAGCCCGGCUAAUUUUUGUAUUUUUUGUAGAGACGGGGUUUCACUAGGCUGGUCUCGAACUCCUGACCUCAGGUGAUCCACCCGCGUUGGCCUCCCAAAGUGCUGGGAUUACAGGCGUGAGCCACCGUGCCCGGCCAGGCUUUUCACAUCUACUGUAGAAAUACCACGUGUCACUGUGACUCUCCAGUUCCACAGUCAGUGGCAACACAUGGGCAGCUGGAAAUCAGCCACGGUGAGUGCAUGUGCACCGUGGAAGUCGGCAAACACUAGAACCAGGGCCCUGCUGACAGACGUGUAUGGGCACAGCACUGAGCAAGAGGUUGCUGACCACGGCCUCGAGCUGCCUUUGCCCACCUCGGACUGUGCUCCAGGCACCCGGCCCUCCCAGCAGGUGGCUGCCCUCUCACCUCCCUCGUGAAGUGUUUCUUCGCUUUUUGUUUUGUUUUCUUUUUGUGGUUUGUUCUGUUUUGUUUGGUUUUGUUUUGGGACGGUCUCGCUCUACACCCCAGGCUGGAGUGCAGUGGUGUGGUCUCGGCUCACUGCAACCUCUGUCUCCUGGGUUCAAGCGAUUGUUCUCCCUCAGCCUCCUGAGUAGCUGGGAUUACAGGCAUGUGCCACCAGGCCCGGCUAAUUUUUUUUUUUUUUUUUUUGAGACAAGGUCUCCCCUCGACUGGACAAGGCGGUUAGGGCAAAGGUCUGCCAGUCUUGCAGAGAAAGCAGCCCAGGAGGCCAGGGAGGGCCGGAGGGAUGCAGCACCCCCUGGGGCCGUCCUAACUGUGCGGCCCUAGGCAAACUACUGCAAGUCCCAGCCUCAGCUCAUGGGGACGCCUGGCAGACAGCCCUGGAGCAGGGACUGGGCACCAGCUGGGAAGGGGCUGGUCCCCACAGGCUCUUCUGGGGUCUGCCCCAGAACCCCCUGUCACUAUGGGUCUUGCGAGGAGCCCGGAGACCUUAACUCUGAAGUUGAGGAUGGAGCACGGGGCAGGUCACCUUCUUCUCGGUUCCAAAUCCCCUGCUUGUUUCUAAGAAACAGCUAAUGAAACCCAGAGUGUCACAAUGGCCUUCCCAGAGCUCCAGGAAGUCGCUAUAACUUGGGAACUCCUGUGACGGAGGCUAAGUGACGGGCCGUUAGUUUCUGUCUCUAGAAAUAGCCCAGAACGGCUGGGCGCGGUGGCUCAUGCCUGUAAUCCCAGCACUUUGGGAGCCCGAGGUGGGCGGAUCACGAGGUCAGGAGUUCGAGACCAGACUGACCAACACAGUGAAACCCCGUCUCUACUAAAAAUACAAAAACUAGCUGGG
rnacentral:lncRNA from 1 species